rnacentral:rRNA from 1 species
CGUGUAGGCGGUCGGUCAAGUCCGAUGUGAAAGCCCGGGGCUCAGCCCCGGAAGGGCAUCGGAAACUAGCCGGCUGGAGCGCGAUAGAGGAGGGUGGAAUUCCUGGUGUAGCGGUGAAAUGCGUAGAUAUCAGGAGGAACACCGGCGGCGAAGGCGGCCCUCUGGAUCGUUGCUGACGCUGAGACGCGAAAGCGUGGGGAGCAAACAGGAUUAGAUACCCUGGUAGUCCACGCUGUAAACUAUGGGUACUAGGUGUUCGGGGUAUUGACCCCCUGAGUGCCGCAGCUAACGCAUUAAGUACCCCGCCUGGGGACUAUGGCCGCAAGGUUAAA